GAUGAACGCUGGCGGCGUGCUUAACACAUGCAAGUCGAACGGAAAGGCCUCAGCUUGCUGGGGUACUCGAGUGGCGAACGGGUGAGUAACACGUGGGUGAUCUGCCCUGCACUUUGGGAUAAGCUUGGGAAACUGGGUCUAAUACCGAAUAUGACCACUUCUUGGAUGUUGUGGUGGAAAGCUUUUGCGGUGUGGGAUGAGCCUGCGGCCUAUCAGCUUGUUGGUGGGGUAAUGGCCUACCAAGGCGGCGACGGGUAUCCGGCCUGAGAGGGGGGACGGACACAUUGGGACUGAGAUACGGCCCAGACUCCGACGGGAGGCAGCAGUGGGGAAUAUUGAGCAAGGGGCGCAAGCCUGAUGCAGCGACGCCGCGGGGGGGAUGAAGGCCUUCGGGUUGUAGACUCCUUUCGCUAUCGACGAAGCCACUUGUGGUGACGGUAGGUAGAUAAGAAGCACCGGCUAACUAUGUGCCAGCAGCCGCAGUAA
rnacentral:rRNA from 1 species